rnacentral:rRNA from 1 species
UAGUGGCGAACGGGUGAGUAACACGUGGGCAAUCUGCCCUUCACUCUGGGACAAGCCCUGGAAACGGGGUCUAAUACCGGAUAACACUCUGUCCCGCAUGGGACGGGGUUAAAAGCUCCGGCGGUGAAGGAUGAGCCCGCGGCCUAUCAGCUUGUUGGUGGGGUGAUGGCCUACCAAGGCGACGACGGGUAGCCGGCCUGAGAGGGCGACCGGCCACACUGGGACUGAGACACGGCCCAGACUCCUACGGGAGGCAGCAGUGGGGAAUAUUGCACAAUGGGCGAAAGCCUGAUGCAGCGACGCCGCGUGAGGGAUGACGGCCUUCGGGUUGUAAACCUCUUUCAGCAGGGAAGAAGCGAGAGUGACGGUACCUGCAGAAGAAGCGCCGGCUAACUACGUGCCAGCAGCCGCGGUAAUACGUAGGGCGCAAGCGUUGUCCGGAAUUAUUGGGCGUAAAGAGCUCGUAGGCGGCUUGUUGCGUCGGUUGUGAAAGCCCGGGGCUUAACCCCGGGUCUGCAGUC